rnacentral:tRNA from 1 species
GGAGGGGUGGCCGAGUGGUUAAAGGCGACGGACUGUAAAUCCGUUCUCUAUGAGUACGCUGGUUCGAAUCCAGCCCCCUCCA